UACGUAGGGGGCAAGCGUUGUCCGGAUUUAUUGGGCGUAAAGAGCGUGUAGGCGGUUAUGCAGGUCCGCUGUGAAAACUGGAGGCUUAACCUCCAGACGUCGGUGGAAACCGUAUGACUAGAGUCCGGAAGAGGAGAGUGGAAUUCCUGGUGUAGCGGUGAAAUGCGCAGAUAUCAGGAAGAACACCCGUGGCGAAAGCGGCUCUCUGGGACGGUACUGACGCUGAGACGCGAAAGCGUGGGGAGCGAACAGG
rnacentral:rRNA from 1 species